GUUGGAUUAGUUAAAUGGCGUAAAGGGUCAUUCGUAAUGAUUAGUUAGGAGUUCGACCCUCUCAUCCAGCACCA
rnacentral:tRNA from 2 species